GACGAUCGCUGGCGGCGUGCUUAACACAUGCAUGUCGAACGGUGAAACUUUUCGGAGGGGCUAAGUGGCGAAAGGGUGCGUAACCCGUGGGAAAUCUGCCCCAGGCUCUGGGUUAAUUCCAAGAAAUUGGGGCCAAUACUGGAUGUUCACCGCUCCCCGCCUGGGUGGUGGUGAAAAGGGUUUCCGGCAGGGGGUGGGCCUGGGGCCUAUCAGCUUGUUGGUGGGGUAGUGGCCUCUCAAGGCGACGACGGAUAGCCGCCCUGUUAGGGUGACCGGCCACGCAGGAGCUGAGGCACGACCCGGACUCCUGCGGGAGGCAGCAGUGGGGGAUAGUGCGCAAUGGACGUAAGCCUGACGCAGCGACGCCGCGUGGGGGAUGGCGGCGUUCGGGGUAUGAUCCUCGUUCAGCAAGGACGAUGGGCAAGUGACGUUGCCUUCAGAAGAAGCACCGGCCAACUACGUG
rnacentral:rRNA from 1 species